CAGCAGCCGCGGUAAUACGAAGGGGGCUAGCGUUAAUCGGAAUUACUGGGCGUAAAGCGUGCGCAGGCGGCUAUGCAAGACAGAUGUGAAAUCCCCGGGCUCAACCUGGGAACUGCAUUUGUGACUGCAUGGCUAGAGUACGGUAGAGGGGGAUGGAAUUCCGCGUGUAGCAGUGAAAUGCGUAGGUAUGCGGAGGAACACCGAUGGCGAAGGCAAUCCCCUGGACCUUAACUGACGCUAAUGCGUGAAAGCGUUGGGAGCAAACAGGAUUAGAUACCCGCGUAGUCCCUGUCUCUUAUAA
rnacentral:rRNA from 1 species